UACGAAGGGUGCAACCGUUGCUCGGAAUUAUUGGGCGUAAAGCGCACGUAGGCGGCUCUAUAAGUCGGAUGUGAAAUCCCUCGGCUUAACCAAGGAAGUGCAUCCGAAACUGUGGAGCUUGAGUACUUAAGAGGAUCGCGGAAUUCCCGGUGUAGAGGUGAAAUUCGUAGAUAUCGAGAGGAACACCAGUGGCGAAGGCGGCGAUCUGGGAAGAUACUGACGCUGAGGUGCGAAAGCGUGGGGAGCAAACAGG
rnacentral:rRNA from 1 species